GAUGAACGCUGGCGGCGUGCCUAAUACAUGCAAGUCGAGCGAACGGACGAGAAGCUUGCUUCUCUGAUGUUAGCGGCGGACGGGUGAGUAACACGUGGAUAACCUACCUAUAAGACUGGGAUAACUUCGGGAAACCGGAGCUAAUACCGGAUAAUAUUUUGAACCGCAUGGUUCAAAAGUGAAAGACGGUCUUGCUGUCACUUAUAGAUGUAUCCGCGCUGCAUUAGCUAGUUGGUAAGGUAACGGCUUACCAAGGCAACGAUGCAUAGCCGACCUGAGAGGGGGAUCGGCCACACUGGAACUGAGACACGGUCCAGACUCCUACGGGAGGCAGCAGUAGGGAAUCUUCCGCAAUGGGCGAAAGCCUGACGGAGCAACGCCGCGUGAGUGAUGAAGGUCUUCGGAUCGUAAAACUCUGUUAUUAGGGAAGAACAUAUGUGUAAGUAACUGUGCACAUCUUGACGGUACCUAAUCAGAAAGCCACGGCUAACUACGU
rnacentral:rRNA from 1 species